rnacentral:rRNA from 1 species
AUUGAACGCUGGCGGCAUGCUUUACACAUGCAAGUCGAACGGCAGCGCGGGCUUCGGCCUGGCGGCGAGUGGCGAACGGGUGAGUAAUACAUCGGAACGUGCCCAGUAGUGGGGGAUAGCUCGGCGAAAGCCGGAUUAAUACCGCAUACGACCUGAGGGUGAAAGCGGGGGAUCUUCGGACCUCGCGCUAUUUGAGCGGCCGAUGGCGGAUUAGCUAGUUGGUGGGGUAAAGGCCUACCAAGGCGACGAUCUGUAGCUGGUCUGUGAGGACGACCAGCCACACUGGGACUGAGACGCGGCCCAGACUCCUACGGGAGGCAGCAGUGGGGAAUUUUGGGCAAUGGGCGAAAGCCUGAUCCAGCAAUGCCGCGUGUGUGAUGAAGGCCUUCGGGUUGUAAAGCACUUUUGGCGGGAACGAAAAGGACUGUGCCAAUACCACGGUUCGAUGACGGUACCCGCAGAAUAAGCACCGGCUAACUACGUG